CCGCCCGCCCCGCUCCGCAGGGGCAGGGGGGAGGGGACGAAGCUACUCGCCGCCAUCUUGUUUAUGGGCUGCCUCCAGGCGCGGCCUCUCCGCCGAGCCGUGGAGACGUCACGCAGGAGGCCGCGAGCUGGCCAGACGCUCCCUCUUUUUCACAACAGGUGCAUUCAGCCAUUCGCCGACGGUUGUGGAGGUCUCGCUAGCUGGUGGGCUUGGCUCUUUACCCGUUGUCCCUGAGCAGCCCUCAAGUCUGGAUGUCGGUGAGCCCGAGGAUGCCACUACCUUGUCCUGCCGCCCCCUCCCCCGCCCCGGUCUGGCCUGCCAGCGCAGGGUGAACCCGGUCGGGUUGUCACUCGACGCCCACUAGUGGCUGAGGAGGCUCCAGUGCGCAGGCUCGGGGCACCGGAUAAAAGUGGAGCUGGCGAGUCCGGCGCCGUCACGAUGGAGGAGCAAGAAACGGAAGAGGUCAGGGGGAGAAGCCGCAGAAAAAAGUGCAGCCAUCGUCAGCGCCGCCUCCUGCCACCGUGUACGGGGUAAAAGCCGCCGUUGCUGCUGCCGGUGCAGUUGCCGCCGCCGCCGCCUCCUAGACUUCUUAGCAGCGGGGAAGGAUUCCCCAGCCGCGGAACAGUGUGCUGGGAGGGGAGCGGGAGUUCGUUUGUGUGGCGGUGAUUAAACGGGGGAGGGGGCAGAGCUGGUUUCUCGAAGCGAAAAGGGGAUACCAAGGAAUAAAACAGGUUUCCCCACUAAAAUCACACAGCGAUUACGGAUCUUGCUUUUGGGGCCUUUCCCCGAAAUGGCGGUUUCCGUCUUCCUGGCCCACAGCACGACCUUGGGUGCUCUGUUAGAGGAGUGGGGAGAGGCAGAGCGGUGUCGGCAGCCAAUCGGCGCCUGGUGAUUUCUGUCGGGUGCGUCAGGAUUGGCUGGCGAUGACCUCAUGCUGCAGCAGCGGGUGGGGCCAGAGUCGUCGGGGGAGUCUGUAGCGAAGGCAGAGAGGGAGAAGUGAUGACGGUGAUCGUUGUCGCCGCGGCCUCUUUGGAACCCAAGCAGUGGCGAAGGAAGUCUCAAGGCUCUUCCCUGAUCAUUUGCUCCUCUCCCUGCGCGAGGGUAUCCUGCAUUGAAGAGGCUGAACAUUUUUAAAACUUCAUUUUCCAGACUUCCUUGCAGUUUGGCUAUGCAAGUCACUUACUGAGUGAGUUUCAGAUGGUGGGGGUAAAGCAGAAAUCAUUAGCCACCCUUCUUGGCUUAUUUGGUCAAGUUUUAUGCCUAUUACUAAGUAACAGAGGGAAAUUGUUUCAUGUUCUUGUGUUCUUGGCCCCACUUGCCUCCGGUGCAGUUACUUCCUCACAGUCUCUCUUCUAGGUCCCUCUCCCCACCCUGAAAAUCUUGUGUAGGAGUUGAGGAUGAAGCUCAACACUAGACUGCCUGUCUAGCAUGCACAAAAUGCUGGUUUGAUCCCCAGCAUCCCACAGAUUGGAAACAGAAGUAUAUGCCUGUAAUUCUUAUACUCAAGAGAACCAGAAGUCAGGCUGCAUGAGUCUGAGGCCAGCUUGUGCUGUGUGAGAGCCUGUCUCAAACAUAACAGCAAAAUCAUGUAUAAGAGGAAUGAGGUAGAAGAGGAAUCCUGGGCUGGAAGUUAUUUAGGGAAUGCUGGGCUUAAAAUCUGUUCUCCCAAAUUCCCAGCUGGUAUCUAUCUUCAGACCAAACUAGAAAACUCCUUUUUCCCUCAAUUACUUCCACAGUAACUUUCCACUUGAGGGUCUGGGAUAUUUUUCCAGCUUCCACCAACACCUCAGCCUUGAAACCCAAGUUUAGCCAAACACUGUCCCUCCAGCUCAUCAGCCUGCCAGGCACCAGCACAUGUCCCAAACUUCCUGAGUCCAUAUGUGUGGUUGAAUUGAGCCAUGGUGACAUUAGUCAUGUUUAUUGUUUAUUGAAAACAAGGAUAUGUAGUAGCUAAGGACUCACUGUGGUUUCUGACUUCAUAGUUGCUCACUAACUAUAACAAGACAAUGAAAAUGACCAAAAUAGACACUAAGUAUAUAGUAAAAGUAGAUAGGAUAAGAGACUAGACUCUUCUCUGCUGGUAGUAAGAAAAGGGGAGGGGGGCUUUUCUCCUUUACUAUAGUGAAGCCAUGUAACAUGUCUUACUCAAUUUCACAUGAAUAUUCUCGUUUUGUUUUAACAUUGUGUAGUGGGUAGCCAUUCCAGCUUGGUUCUGGAAGUUCCAACUCCCAUUGAGACUCUGGCAACUGUCACGCCUA